GCUCAAAACUUAAAGGAAUUGACGGGGCCCGCACAAGCGGUGGAGUAUGUGGUUUAAUUCGAUGCAACGCGAAGAACCUUACCUGGUCUUGACAUCCCGGAGACCCUUAGGAAACUAGGGGGUGCUUCCAUCUGGAAGAAUCUGGAGACAGGUGCUGCAUGGCUGUCGUCAGCUCGUGUCGUGAGAUGUUGGGUUAAGUCCCGCAACGAGCGCAACCCUUGCCUUUAGUUGCCAGCAGUUCGGCUGGGCACUCUAAAGGGACUGCCGGUGUUAAACCGGAGGAAGGUGGGGAUGACGUCAAGUCCUCAUGGCCUUUAUGACCAGGGCUACACACGUACUACAAUGGCCGAUACAAAGGGCAGCGACACUGCGAGGUGAAGCCAAUCCCGUAAAAUCGGUCUCAGUCCGGAUUGGAGUCUGCAACUCGACUCCAUGAAGUUGGAAUCGCUAGUAAUCGUGGAUCAGCAUGCCACGGUGAAUACGUUCCCGGGCCUU
rnacentral:rRNA from 1 species